rnacentral:rRNA from 1 species
GACGAACGCUGGCGGCGUGCUUAACACAUGCAAGUCGAACGAAGAGCGAUGGGAGCUUGCUCCUAUCAAUUUUAGUGGCGAACGGGUGAGUAACGCGUAAUCAACCUGCCCUUCAAUGGGGGACAACAGUUGGAAACGACUGCUAAUACCGCAUACGAUCGUAAUUCGGCAUCGAGAUACGAUGAAAGGUGGCCUCUAUUUAUAAGCUAUCGUUGAAGGAGGGGAUUGCGUCUGAUUAGCUAGUUGGAGGGGUAACGGCCCACCAAGGCAAUGAUCAGUAGCCGGUCUGAGAGGAUGAACGGCCACAUUGGGACUGAGACACGGCCCAAACUCCUACGGGAGGCAGCAGUGGGGAAUCUUCCGCAAUGGACGAAAGUCUGACGGAGCAACGCCGCGUGAGUGAUGAAGGUCUUCGGAUUGUAAAGCUCUGUUAAUCGGGACGAAAGAGCCUAGUGUGAAUAAUGCUAGGAAGUGACGGUACCGGAAUAGAAAGCCACGGCUAACUACGUGCCAGCCGCCGCCGUAACAC